rnacentral:rRNA from 1 species
UACGGGGGGGGCAAGCGUUGUUCGGAAUUACUGGGCGUCAAGGGCUCGUAGGUUGCCAACUAAGUCAGACGUGAAAUCCCUCAGCUUAACUGGGGAACUGCGUCUGAUACUGGAUGGCUUGAGUUUGGGAGAGGGAUGCGGAAUUCCAGGUGUAGCGGUGAAAUGCGUAGAUAUCUGGAGGAACACCGGUGGCGAAGGCGGCAUCCUGGACCAACACUGACACUGAGGAGCGAAAGCGUGGGUAGCAAACGGG